rnacentral:rRNA from 1 species
UACAGAGGUCCCAAGCGUUGUUCGGAUUCACUGGGCGUAAAGGGUGCGUAGGUGGCCAGGUAAGUUCGGUGUGAAAUCUCCGAGCUUAACUCGGAACUGUCAGCUGAUACUGAUGUGCUAGAGUGCGGAAGGGGCAAUCGGAAUUCUUGGUGUAGCGGUGAAAUGCGUAGAUAUCAAGAGGAACACCUGAGGUGAAGACGGGUUGCUGGGCCGACACUGACGCUGAGUGCGCGAAAGCCAGGGGAGCAAACGGG